AGUGGAUCAUACUGGUUACCACCUGGCUGGGAGAACAUUCCUUCAGCAGUAUGCGCAGAUAGUGGGAGUUGGUUGUUAGAGUUUAAGCAUAUCUUUGCUGCUUCACUUUCGUGCUAAUAAAUGACCCUCCCUUGUGUACCUAAUUUCCCUUCACAAGAGAGCUCGUGAUCUCUGGAAUCACUGCGUCCUUGGAAAUUAUGCAGAGUGGACUAUCAGAAAAGCAUGGAUGCAAAGUAUGCCUAUUUCUAUUAUUACAUUCUCCAUUGCUUUAUCUUGGACUUUGGCUGGUGUAUCUUUUAGCUUUGGUUUAGAAUUGUUGGAACAAUUAGCGUCAAUAUUGGUGUUGCCAUUACACAAGAGAACUCAUUGCUUGACAACACUGCUAGAAUUGAGGGUUGGUUAGCCAGAUUCCCUAUGUUUGAUUAGGUGGGCAGAAGAACCUCUGAAAUAUCUACAGUUGGUUUACUUCCAGCUGCACUUCAAGGAAUUGAUAUUAGAGAGAAGCUCGCCGGUGCUGCAUUGAUGGAUGAAGCAAACAAUCUAUUGAUGGAUGAAGCAAAGAGUUUGACCUGGAUGGUAACCGACUAUAUUCAACAACUACGAGAAGGUGCACACAAUUUCUUUGCAACAUUUAUUGAAGGGGGUGUGAAGGUUUAGUGCAAGAAAUGCAAGAUGUUUUAUAGGCUUCAUACAGUGAGAUGUUGAAUGCUCUAUAAACUGACCUACUAUGAAAUUGAUAGUUGAUGAAUAGAAGAUAAUUGAGAUGAAACAAUAUUUUAGCAUUCCACUAAAAAGAACAAGUUUCUGAUGAAUUUGUAAAGAAGUUUUAAUUAUUUAGGCACUG